GCCAAGCCAACUGCUGGAAUGGGUGGAAAGGCUUUUGCUGACUGGCUGAGGUGAAGGAAAGAAUCUAGUUGUAUCUCUGGGACUUGAGCUAAUCAAGUUGGAGGUAUUUUGACUCAACAUGUGCAAAAUUGAUUUCAUUGUCCUUCAAGACCAUUCCUUUUCCUAAUUUCAGUAUUUCUAUCCAAGGCCCACCUAAUUCAGAGAAAUGAAUUUAUUCUACCCACCCACUCCAGAAGUAAUGUCUUUAUAUAAAAUAUUUUUAAAAAAUUCUAAAGAUGACCUUCCUCUAGUUAUAUUAAAGGCCACCUCCCCUCCAAUCACUGUCAUUACCUGUGGACUUGGGAGAUCACUAAGUUUUUUUCAUGAACUAGAAAAUUAGGCAACUUUUCACAUUUGCAUUCUCAUACCAAAACCACAAGGAAGUGAAGACAUGAUUAAAUUAUGAAGAGAAUGAGCAGGCUGUGUAUAAAAGAGAACCUAGUAUGGAAGACUGAAUUUUGAUUGCACUUUUUAAUUGGCAGAGCAUCAUUUAUUAUGCAAGAAGCCUUUUGUUUUCUCAGUUGGUGGGUUCA
rnacentral:lncRNA from 1 species